GCUGGGCCUCUGCGCCUGCGCAGAUGCGCUGACCCGGAAGACACAGGGACAAAAGAGGGAAUUGUUUCAGAACUGGAAGAGAAUGACCCGGCCAGCACCUGCACAAGACUCCACACUGCAAAGGCUAACCCAGAUCAGUUGGCAGGGGAGGGAGCGGUGGUUACUGGGCAGAGUGCAGGGUCCUUGGAGAUUCUACAUUCAGCCACUAGAUGGUGAAGCACACAGGAGAAAAACCCACAUGGAGCCCCAAUCCAAUCAGCCCUCAUCAGACUUCACUGACAGCAAGUUUUGCAAGGUACCUGGGAGUCAGUUUCUGAAGAUGCAAGCUCUCUAACAAGGGCAAAACUACUGAAGUCGUCAAAUCGGUCAAAGGAACUCUGGCUGAACUGGUUCCAGCCAGCUUUCAAGGCAGCUGUCCCAAGUUAAGCACAAAGAAGGGGAGGGGAAAGAGGGCGCCUGAGGUCCUGAGCACUUGAUGUACCCCAAGCUGUGUUGUGAGCUUCAGGACAUGGGCUCAUCUACACCUCACAGAAAUCCUGUGGCAGGAGUCUCUGCUGGUAACUGAGCGGGAACAAGGCUCACGUUAAAUCCAAGGUCAGAGCUAGAGUGUGGGGAGCCAAGACUCAACACAAGUCUGACCCCAAAGCUUGUGCUUUUCCUAGCGUUCCCACAAAUCACUUACGAUUUCUAUUGAAAUAGAAUCUUUGCUUGAUCUUUCCAGGAAACUGUCCAACCAAUUGGUAUCUUUGGAAAGGCUGGGCUGGAUCUUCCCUAGCAAGGCCUUCCACCUGCAACUUUUUUUUCUCCAGCCAUUUCUCUCUUUGACCAGACUACAUAAGGAAGCAGGAAACCUUCCUCUUCUUCUUCUUCUUCUUUUUUUUGGCCAUGCUGAGCAGCUUUCAGUAUCUUGGUUCCCCAGCCAGGGACUGAACCCGGGCCACCACAAGUGAAGCACCGAGUCCUAACCACUGGACCGCCAGGGAACUCCCUGGGAAACGUUCUUCAAACCCUGUGAUUGAACUGGACAGGGAAUGGACUGCUGUCUGUAAGCAGCCAACAGCCAGCAGCUUUUCAGAGUUACUUAGUGGGCAAAUUUGUUAACUUUGCUUUAUUUCUCUGUAUGUUUACAUUAAAAAGAAAUUCACACAAAUAAAACAGCUCGAUAAAAAGUA